AAUGAACGCUGGCGGCAUGCCUAACACAUGCAAGUCGAACGAGACAUUCGGGUCUAGUGGUGCACGGGUGCGUAACGCGUGGGGAAAUGCCCAUAGGUCCGGAAGAAAUCCCCGAAUGGGGUGCUGAAACCGGAUCUAGUAUCCGGUACAAAGGUUUAUCGAAAUUGGUUGGGCUCGGGUUGGCUUGGCAAGUUGGUAGGGUAAAAGCCUACAAAGGGGUCGAUCCAUAGCUUGUUUGAGAGGACGAUCAACCACACUGGGACUGAGACACGGCCCAGACUCCUACGGGAGGCAGCAGUGGCGGAUAUUGGACAACGGGCGAAGGCCUGAUCCUGCACUGCCUCUUGAGCGAUUAAGGCCUUAGGGUUGUAAAGCUCGUUUACCCGUUAUUAUAAUGACAGUACCGGGAGAAUAAGCACCGGCUAACUCCGUG
rnacentral:rRNA from 1 species